UAACGUUUUGAAAAGAACGCUAAUACCGCAUAACAUAUCGGAACCGCAUGAUUCUGAUAUCAAAGGAGCAAUCCGCUGAGAGAUGGGCUCGCGUCCGAUUAGUUAGUUGGUGAGGUAACGGCUCACCAAGACUACGAUCGGUAGCCGGACUGAGAGGUUGAUCGGCCACAUUGGGACUGAGACACGGCCCAGACUCCUACGGGAGGCAGCAGUGGGGGAUAUUGCGCAAUGGGGGAAACCCUGACGCAGCAACGCCGCGUGAAGGAAGAAGGUCUUCGGAUUGUAAACUUCUUUUGUCAGGGACGAAGAAAGUGACGGUACCUGACGAAUAAGCUCCGGCUAACUACGUGCCAGCAGCCGCGGUAAUACGUAGGGAGCGAGCGUUGUCCGGAUUUACUGGGUGUAAAGGGUGCGUAGGCGGCCGAGCAAGUCAGUUGUGAAAACUAUGGGCUUAACCCAUAACGUGCAAUUGAAACUGUCCGGCUUGAGUGAAGUAGAGGUAGGCGGAAUUCCCGGUGUAGCGGUGGAAUGCGUAGAGAUCGGGAGGAACACCAGUGGCGAAGGCGGCCUACUGGGCUUUAACUGACACUGAGGCACAAAAGCAUGGGUAGCAAACAGGAUUAGAUACCCUGGUAGUCCAUGCCGU
rnacentral:rRNA from 1 species